CCAAUAGUAUACAACAUUUAAAACUAGGAACAAUUUGUUUCCUUUUCUUUUUGAUAGAUUUUUUUUUUAAAAAAACAAGCUUAUUGGUCCAUUUUGUUAAAAAUCAAAUAUUUACAUGAAAUCAAGUCUAGCGCAAGAAAAUCCCAAUACAAAAAAAAUAAAAAAAAAGAAAGUGUAAUGUCUGAAAAAAUUAAAAAAAGCCAAAAACAAAAAGGGAAAGUGGAAAAAUCUAGAAGGGAAAAAGGCGAAGAGGCGGAUGUUGCAUUCAUCUAUGGCCGCUGCUUUUUCAUCAUCUCCAGCAAAGUCUCCACAUUUAGAUCUAAGCUUAAGAUGAACUAUCUUGGAGCUUUGGAGGGAAUACACCUCAAGUCACCUAAAUCUCUCACCAGAUCCAGGUACGAGUGCGCCACAGGGCUAGUUGAUUCAGUUGAUACUCGAAGCCCAUUAGAGGAUAGGACUCAUGUGGAAUUUGCAAUUCAUAUAUCAUCAAGAUCCAAAUCAAGAGAAUUUACCGACACAUCCCUCAGUCAAGUAAUUUUGCAAUCUCAUAUUUCUUACCGACACAUUCAUCAGUGGCAAUAAGUGAAGGUUUUUUAUCGACCUGCAAUACGGGUGUACAAUCUGAAUGCAAUACGAGUCAAUAGGGGCAAAGAAAUAUCAUCAUUGAUCAAGUUUAAGGUUGAAUGUGGAUGUAGGUGCUAUUGGAUUAGGGGGACAAUAUAAGACAAAGCUUCUAUAAAAUGAGGGUAUGAAAGGCGAAUAUAGACAAAAAGCUCUUAUCCUCUCGUUUAAACUUUUUGUUAAAUUUGAGUAGAUAUUAUAAAUUUAUGGAGUUUUCAUUUUCUCUAUUGAUCAAUUUAUUCUUUCA